ensembl:snRNA U6 U6 spliceosomal RNA
GUGCUUCAGCAGCACAUAUACUAAAAAAUUAGAAUGAGUCAGAGAAGAUUAGUGUGGCUCCUGUACAAGGGUGACAUGCAAAUUUGCGAAACACUUCAUAUUUUU